rnacentral:rRNA from 1 species
UGGGGAAUCUUGCACAAUGGGGGCAACCCUGAUGCAGCGACGCCGCGUGAGCGAUGAAGCCCUUCGGGGCGUAAAGCUCUUUCGACCGGAACGAUAAUGACGGUACCGGGAGAAGAAGCUGCGGCUAACUACGUGCCAGCAGCCGCGGUAAUACGUAGGCAGCAAGCGUUGUUCGGAGUUACUGGGCGUAAAGAGUGCGUAGGCGGUUUUCUAAGUUCGGUGUGAAAUCUCCCGGCUUAACUGGGAGGGUGCGCCGAAGACUGGGAAGCUGGAGUGUGGGAAAGGCAGGCGGAAUUCAUGGUGUAUCGGUGAAAUGCGUAGAUAUCAGGAGGAACACCGGCGGUGUAGACGGCUUGCUAGACCAUAACUGACGCUGAGGCACGAAAGCGUGGGUAGCAAAC